rnacentral:misc_RNA from 1 species
AAGGCCUUUUUUUUUCCAGUGUAAAUAUGAUUUAUCACAUUGGAAGUAUUUUCUUUUAAACAGUGUAUAUAUAUACUCUUUCAAAAUUCAUAAUGUUGAACUGUGGUUUUUUUUAAAAAAAAUUAUUUGGCAAGGCAUUCCAUGAUUGCAAGAAACUUAAUACAGUGAUGAGCCUUAUGUUUAACUGAUUCAAUAUUCUGCGA